rnacentral:RNase_P_RNA from 1 species
GGAAAGUCCAUGCCCGCACAAGCUGAGAUGCUUGUAGUGUUCGUGCUAAGCCCAAUAAGCUUAGGGGCCGUGUAAACGGCUACGGCGGCCAAACGCGCUAAGGCGUCAGCUAUGCGCUAGUAGGUCUGAAAAGUGCCACAGUGACGAAACGAUCAGGGAAACCUGAGCGGUGGAACGGGUAAACCCCGCGAGCGAGUAACCCAAACUUUUGGUAGGGG